AUGCACGCUGGCGGCGUGCCUAAUACAUGCAAGUCGCGCGAACAGACGAGGAGCUUGCUCCUCUGACGUUAGCGGCGGACGGGUGAGUAACACGUGGAUAACCUACCUAUAAGACUGGGAUAACUUCGGGAAACCGGAGCUAAUACCGGAUAAUAUAUUGAACCGCAUGGUUCAAUAGUGAAAGACGGUUUUGCUGUCACUUAUAGAUGGAUCCGCGCCGCAUUAGCUAGUUGGUAAGGUAACGGCUUACCAAGGCAACGAUGCGUAGCCGACCUGAGAGGGUGAUCGGCCACACUGGAACUGAGCCACGGUCCAGACUCCUACGGGAGGCAGCAGUAGGGAAUCUUCCGCAAUGGGCGAAAGCCUGACGGAGCAACGCCGCGUGAGUGAUGAAGGUCUUCGGAUCGUAAAACUCUGUUAUUAGGGAAGAACAAAUGUGUAAGUAACUAUGCACGUCUUGACGGUACCUAAUCAGAAAGCCACGGCUAACUACGUG
rnacentral:rRNA from 1 species